rnacentral:rRNA from 1 species
UGGGGAAUCUUGGACAAUGGGCGCAAGCCUGAUCCAGCCAUGCCGCGUGAGUGAUGAAGGCCUUAGGGUUGUAAAACUCUUUCGCCGAGGACGAUAAUGACGGUACUCGGAGAAGAAGCUCCGGCUAACUUCGUGCCAGCAGCCGCGGUAAUACGAAGGGGGCUAGCGUUGUUCGGAUUUACUGGGCGUAAAGCGCGUGUAGGCGGGUCGUUAAGUUGGGGGUGAAAUCCCGGAGCUCAACUCCGGAACUGCCUUCAAAACUGGCGACCUGGAGCGAGAUAGAGGCAAGUGGAAUUCCGAGUGUAGAGGUGAAAUUCGUAGAUAUUCGGAGGAACACCAGUGGCGAAGGCGACUUGCUGGAUCUCUGCUGACGCUGAGACGCGAAAGCGUGGGGAGCAAACAGG